rnacentral:rRNA from 1 species
CCUACGGGGGGCAGCAGUAGGGAAUAUUGGACAAUGGGGGAAACCCUGAUCCAGCAAUGCAGCGUGAGUGACGAAGGCCUUAGGGUUGUAAAACUCUUUCAUCUGUGAGGAUAAUGACAGUAGCAGAAGAAGAAGGACCGGCUAAUUCCGUGCCAGCAGCCGCGGUAAUACGGAAGGUCCUAGCGUUGUUCGGAAUUACUGGGCGUAAAGAGUAUGUAGGCGGAACAGAAAGUUAGAAGUGAAAUCCCUGGGCUCAACCUAGGAAUUGCUUUUAAAACUUCUGUUCUUGAAUUCAGGAGAGGAUAGUGGAAUUUCCAGUGUAGAGGUGAAAUUCGUAGAUAUUGGAAGGAACACCAGUGGCGAAGGCGGCUAUCUGGACUGACAUUGACGCUGAGAUACGAAGGCAUGGGUAGCAAACGGGAUUAGAUACCCGAGUAGUC